AGAAAAGCUCGACAAUUGGUCGUCUAAAAAAACCGUUCGGGUUACUCUACUGAAAGAGUGACUUUUAUUGUUUUCCUUUAUUACAUGCAUAAUAAAGUCUUACACUUUGCCCAAGGUGUAACGGCUCAUUUGUAGGGCCAUCCAUUUAGUUACAUUUCGCAAUUAUUUUUAUCAUCAAUAAAGGACGGCUUGUGCAAACAAUUUUGUGUUCUCUUUCUUUCAGUUUUUUUACUUUUACAAAAAAAAUGGCAAUGUUUCUUUUUUCGUUUUUUCUUUCUUUCCAAAAAAAAAACUCUCAUUCUAAGGUAAAGCAUGAUCCUCCAUCAUGCAGAGCG
rnacentral:lncRNA from 1 species